UUUUUGUUUAAACAAACAGAGAACACCCCACCUCCUUUUUCCCCUUUCGGUUAGGGUUUCAAAACCCACCUUUGCCGCCGUCAUCAUGGCUCUUUGAAGCCGCUGAGGCCUCCGCCGUUGACGGUGGUCAAAGCCACCAAGAUCCAGAGUAGUUGAUGGCGGUGGAAUGAGGUAUAGUGGCUGAUGGAGGUGAUGGGACAGAGGCGGCGGCUAAACUUAGAGGAAGGCUAGGGUUUUUUCUUUUUUUGAUUUUGUUUGGGCUAGGGUUAGGUUGAGCUGCUAGGUUUUUUUUUUUUAAUUAGUUUGGGUUUGGUUUUGGGCUAAUGUAAUGAAGUGGGUAGUUGGGUUAGUUUAGUGGGUUGGGGUUUUUGGUGGAUGUAACCUGAUUGGGUAGGUUUAGUUGGGUCUGGGUAAUUUGGGCUUCUACAAUUUUUGGUUGAGUGGUAAGGGUUUUUUACAUGGAUUUGUUGGUCUUGUGUUCAAGUAUGAAAAGAUGAAAAUAUCGUUAUAAUAAUGAUUACCUUUUCUAGUAAA